rnacentral:rRNA from 1 species
GAUGAACGCUAGCUACAGGCUUAACACAUGCAAGUCGAGGGGUAGCAUGUUGGUUGCUUGCAACCGAUGAUGACGACCGGCGCACGGGUGAGUAACGCGUAUCCAACUUGGCUUAUACUUAGGGAUAACCCGUUGAAAGACGGCCUAAUACCUAAUGGUUUAUAAUAGUUGCAUGACUUUUAUAAUAAAGAUUUAUCGGUAUAAGAUAGGGAUGCGUCUGAUUAGUUAGUUGGUGAGGUAACGGCUCACCAAGGCAUCGAUCAGUAGGGGUUCUGAGAAGAAGGUCCCCCACAUUGGAACUGAGACACGGUCCAAACUCCUACGGGAGGCAGCAGUGAGGAAUAUUGGUCAAUGGACGUAAGUCUGAACCAGCCAAGUAGCGUGCAGGAUGACGGCCCUAUGGGUUGUAAACUGCUUUUAUGUGAGAAUAAAGUUAACUACGUGUAGUUAUUUGCAUGUAUCACAUGAAUAAGGACCGGCUAAUUCCGUGCCAGCAGCCGCGGUAAUACGGAAGGUCCAGGCGUUAUCCGGAUUUAUUGGGUUUAAAGGGAGCGUAGGCCGUUUGGUAAGCGUGCUGUGAAAUUUAGAGGCUCAACCUCUACCGUGCAGCGCGAACUGUCAGACUUGAGUGCGUAGUAGGUAGGCGGAAUUCGUGGUGUAGCGGUGAAAUGCUUAGAUAUCACGAAGAACUCCGAUUGCGAAGGCAGCUUACCGUAUCGCAACUGACGCUGAUGCUCGAAGGUGCGGGUAUCGAACAGGAUUAGAUACCCUGGUAGUCCGCACAGUAAACGAUGGAUGCUCGCUGUUGGCUUUUAUAGUCAGUGGCUUAGCGAAAGCGUUAAGCAUCCCACCUGGGGAGUACGCCGGCAACGGUGAAACUCAAAGGAAUUGACGGGGGCCCGCACAAGCGGAGGAACAUGUGGUUUAAUUCGAUGAUACGCGAGGAACCUUACCCGGGCUUGAACUGCAGGAGAACGAUUCAGAGAUGAUGAGGUCCUUCGGGACUCCUGUGGAGGUGCUGCAUGGUUGUCGUCAGCUCGUGCCGUGAGGUGUCGGCUUAAGUGCCAUAACGAGCGCAACCCCUUUUCUUAGUUGCCAUCGGGUGAUGCCGGGCACUCUGAGGAUACUGCCACCGUAAGGUGUGAGGAAGGUGGGGAUGACGUCAAAUCAGCACGGCCCUUACGUCCGGGGCUACACACGUGUUACAAUGGGGCAUACAGAGUGUUGGUUGCAUGUAAAUGUAAUCUAAUCUUUAAAGUGCUUCUCAGUUCGGACUGGGGUCUGCAACCCGACCCCACGAAGCUGGAUUCGCUAGUAAUCGCGCAUCAGCCAUGGCGCGGUGAAUACGUUCCCGGGCCU